rnacentral:tRNA from 1 species
GGGGUCGUAGCUCAGUUGGUAGAGCACCUGCUUUGCAAGCAGGGGGUCACCGGUUCGAGCCCGGUCGGCUCCACCA